rnacentral:snRNA from 1 species
AUACUUGUAAUAAUAUGUAAGUCUAUAUAUAUAUGUCUUGGUUUCAGCAUCCCCUGCACUCUGGGUUUGCUGACACCUGUGAUGUCCCCAAAUGCGGGAAACUCAACUGCAUAAUUUGUGGUAGUGGGGGACUGUGUUCACGUUUUCCCCUG